CUUUCUUUUGCCUGCUGAGAGCUAAUGUGUCCUCACACUCCAAAGAGAGAGCAAGCAAGCUCUUUAGUGUCUCUUCUUGUAAGAGCGCUAAUUCUAUCAUGAAAGUUCCACCCUUGUGACCUCAUCUAAACCUAAUUACUUCUGAAAGAUUCCAUCUGUAAAUACCAUCGCGCUGGGGGUUAGGGCUUCAACAUAUGAAUAUUGCGGGGACACAGACAUUCAAUCCAUAAUAGCAAGUUUCAGUGGAUUUCAGAAGCCCCUAAGGCAGAAAAGCAAAAGCACCUUAUUUUUUGUCCACUUGACCUGUGUCUUAUGUUGGACUGAAAUGUAGCUGAAAUACAACAUCAUAAUUUUUACUGGAAAAUAGCCACAAUGAAGGAACACCACAAUUUCACCAUGAAAACCAGCACAACCUUACACAGAUGACAAACAUUUCCCCUCAAAACUUGUUAAACUGUAUUUGGGCUGACCAAAUUAACCAGAGUUAUUCUAUUUAUGGGGGAGCAGGAAGUAACUUGAUAAAAUGCUUUGAGUUUAUAUAUCAUGUCAAAUAAAUAGCAUAAUUUUAAAGGAAAAAAA
rnacentral:lncRNA from 1 species